AAUUGAGACUGAAAACAACGGGGCCGCAGAGCAGUGGGGGUUCGUGUAAGAUGCGGGGUGGGGUGGGGGGGGAACAGACCCAACCUCAUUCUUUGGGAAGCGGUCAGGGAAGGGGGCAGUCUUGGAGGGUCACUUACCCACAGCAUGGUGGGGGUAAUGGGAAGGGAGGCUGCUAUGGGUUUGAAGCUCCUGGGUUGGCAUGAGGGGGUGGAGAUGGGUGGAAGGGGCCUGUGCGUCAUUGUAAGCACAGGUCCAGUUUGACGCCCGUCUCUGCAGUGGUGUGAGGGCCGCGGGGACAUGGGACAGACAUGAUGAAUGGUGGAGCCCUUCUGCAGCCCUUCACCCGGUAACCUCCUUGUGCAGACUGCGCUGGGGCGGGGCCUCUCGUGUGGCAUGCACCUUUGGGGCCAUCAGGCCACCUCCAAAGGGGUUUGGUGGGCUGCAGAGUCCCGCAUGGUCCCUCUCAAGCGGGACAGCGGCAGGUGCAGGGAGUGAUCUGCAGGGGCAGGAAGGAGCCGCCUUCUCCCCUCCCCAGCCUGACUGGGGUCCGUGUUACUUCUGAGAAGGUGUGGGUGCCAGGGCGCUGAGGGAGCGGUGGCAGCGGAGGUGGUGGCGUCACUGGCCCUGUUUUCUGCAUCCUGGUCCCCCCAACCCCCGCCCCACGUAUCAUAAGGAACUUUGACCUCAAAAUCUUUCUAAGCAAAGUGUGAAUAGGAUUUUUACUCCCUUUGUACAGUAUUCUGAGAAACACAAAUAAAGGACAGUGUGUUCCUAUUUCCCCUGAGUUUGGCCUCUGCUUCCUGGAGGGGGCGGAGACGGGGCAGUGUGGAGCAUCAGUCUGACCCUCUGCCUGGAUGGUGGGAGGGCCCCUGGGACCUCUGCUUUUCCUGCUGCCUCCAGCAGAGCAAGCUGGAGGGGCUGGCGGGGAACUGGCAGAGGCAGUAAGCUGGCCAGAGAGCAGCAUUUUGCUCUGGGACUUCGCCUGGCUGGUCCUCAGACAGAACUUACACCUCUGGGCUUCAGCCAGGCUGGGCUGGCAGAGGGAUAGCUUGUGACAUGGCCAGGGAGGAGGUCAGUUCAGCAAUGGCUUCAUGUAGAAGGCAGAGCCCCAAGGGGUGCCCAGUCCUUUCCUCUGAAUUCCUGCCCUGUUUCACUUCUCUUCCUUGCUUUGGAGGGCUGCAUCUCCUCCUGGCCUUUGUGUCUUCAGAGGAAUCUUCCUGCUUCCUUCUCCCCACCAUAAGCAUGAGUGGGAGGGAAUAGGACUUACUGAGGCUCACAUGGCCAGGAGAGGGAGGAGUCUUUACAGCACAUUCAGUGCAGUGUCAUCUGUGUAUAUCUGUCAUCUGUGUAUAUCUGUCGUCUGUGUAUAUCUGUCGUCUGUGUAUAUCUGUCAUCUGUAUAUCUGUCGUCUGUGUAUAUCUGUCACCUGUGUAUAUCUAUCAUCUGUGUAUGUCUAUCAUCUAUCUCCCACCUGCUCCCUGGGUCCAGGAGGAGGGAAGGGUUGGUUUCUUACCUUUGGCCUGUCUGCCUCCACCCUAGCUAUAACGUGGCUUAUCUAAAAGCCUGAGAGGUGGGGCACUUAGCUUUCCAGUUUUUUUUGUUUUUUUUUCAAUUCCUGUAUUAUAAUUUCCUGAGACACAGUGGCCAGGAACUGUGCAGAGAUCUUACACAGAGGGGACUCUUUCAACCUCCAUUUUUGGUGAGUAGCUGAGGACAAAAAAAGGUGGGUGGCCCCUGAGAUGGACUGUGGGCCCUGGGCACAGCCUUUCCAUAUACCCAGAUGAAUUCCUAGGUGGGGAGUGAGUGGAGAGUUGGCCACCAUGAUGGGGGCAGGGGCAGAGAAGGGAGCAUGGGUGAGUAGGUGCCUGGGCUAGCCAGAAGGGACUUAGGGGAAGGUGGCCAGGAAGACUGUGAGGGGUGAUCUGGCCUCAGGAGGGUGACAGAGGAGCCUGAAGAAAGGGAAGGAGAUGCGGAAUGAUUGAUGGAAGGGGAAACAGUAAGAAGGAUUUGGAGGAAAGAGAGCCCGAAGGGUCCAAUGUGGUGGGGACACAAGAGCUGCUGCUGAACAGAAAUGGGGGAGGAGCAGCUGUGUCAGGCUGGCCCCGUGGUGGGCCCGUGGAGGGUCCCGCAGGGCAGGCAAGAUGGAGACAAAAGUAGACCAGGAGAGGGUGAAGGGGAGAGUGGGUGGAGGGAGAUGCCCCAGGCGGGGUUUUGGGAUUCAUUUUAUUUUACCAAGUAUAAGCGGACCUUUCAGAAGUUGACCAGAAACUGAGGAGACAGGACUUGGGGGUGGGGGGCUGUCCAGAGCACCUAGCUCCAAGCCACUCUUGAGUACAAAGGUAGAGUACUACCUUUUCUCUUUUGUUUCCUUCUGAGGCCAGUUUAUGACCAUCUCACUGGGAAAUGGUUGGUAGGGGCAACCAUCCAACUGCCUUGCAGAACAGGCAAGUGGGGGUGGCCCAGGGGUCAGAGCGAAGCGAGUCGUCUGUUGGGGUUGGUAAUGUGAGGUUCGGCAGUCAUGCCCCUCAUCUCUUCCUGGCUUCUCUUCAUCAGCACUGGUGAGGGUCUGGCUGGGGAUGGUGAGCCUACCUUCCCACCCAUCGGCCCCUCUGAGCAAGGGGCAACUGCUGUGGGAGAUGCAGAAAACAGAUCUCGCUUUCCUUCUGGGCAAUCGCCACUCCAGCUUUCCUCCAGAAAGUUUCCACAAGGGGCAGAGGAGAAUCCAGCAUUUGUGAUGGCCAUCCCACCUUAGUGUGUAGUGACCACCACACCUUCUGGAAACAGGGAAGGCAAACUGUUCUGGUUGGCCUAGAACUUUUGGAUCUUUCUUGACCCCAAGCUGCCAAAGGUAGAAGAUUUAAAAACCUGAACCAAUAUUUCCCUCCCCCAAACUGCAAUGGGCUUCCUUUUCCCAGUUGGUCCAGGUACCAUGCUCGUGGUAUUUGAGAAAGUCGCAAGAGCUGUGGUCCAACACAUGGACGCUGGUGGGGAUAUGAUCGCUGUCAGAAGCCUCAUUGAUGCUGACAGAUUCCACUGCUUCUAUCUGGUGAAGGAGAGGAGACGUUUCUUUGGAUACCAAUAUGAUAAGAGAGACCUCACCCUGUAGGACAUCCUGGAGAUGGACAAGGGUGAAGGGCUGUUUGAUAAGCUGGUUCCUGGGCUCCAAGUUCCUCCGUAUGAGGUCAGAGGUUAAGUCCCAAGUUAUGGACAGCGUAGACUCAAAGGGAAGUUUGACAGUGAAAUUACCCAAAGAAAAAACACUUGACAUGGGAAUAACAUUCUCCAGGUCCCUGGAGCAGGGCAUCGAGUUAUCAAAGACCCGGAUACUCCAGAAAUUCCUGGAUUCCAUUAAGAACAACACCAAACGGAAGUGACCAUCACCCCUGAGAAGGUCCUGGGCUAUCGAGUAAAGCAGCCAG